rnacentral:rRNA from 1 species
GACGAACGCUGGCGGCGUGCUUAACACAUGCAAGUCGAACGGAAAGGCCCUGCUUUUGUGGUGUGCUCGAGUGGCGAACGGGUGAGUAACACGUGAGUAACCUGCCCUUGACUUUGGGAUAACUUCAGGAAACUGGGGCUAAUACCAGAUAGGAGCUCCUGCUGCAGGGUGGGGGUUGGAAAGUUUCGGCGGUUGGGGAUGGACUCGCGGCUUAUCAGCUUGUUGGUGGGGUAGUGGCUUACCAAGGCUUUGACGGGUAGCCGGCCUGAGAGGGUGACCGGCGACAUUGGGACUGAGAUACGGCCCAGACUCCUACGGGAGGCAGCAGUGGGGAAUAUUGCACAGUGGGCGGAAGCCUGAUGCAGCAACGCCGCGUGCGGGAUGACGGCCUUCGGGUUGUAAACCGCUUUAGCCUGUGACGAAGCGUGAGUGACGGUAAUGGGUAAAGAAGCACCGGCUGACUACGUG